rnacentral:rRNA from 1 species
UGGGGAAUUUUGCACAAUGGGGGAAACCCUGAUGCAGCGACGCCGCGUGAUUUAGAAGGCCUUCGGGUUGUAAAAAUCUUUUCUAUGGGAAGAAAAUGACAGUACCAUAGGAAUAAGGACCGGCUAAUUACGUGCCAGCAGCCGCGGUAAUACGUAAGGUCCGAGCGUUGUCCGGAAUCAUUGGGCGUAAAGGGUACGUAGGCGGGUAAGCAAGUUAGAAGUGAAAUCCUAUAGCUCAACUAUAGUAAGCUUUUAAAACUGCUCAUCUUGAAGUAUGGAAGGGAAAGUGGAAUUCCUAGUGUAGCGGUGAAAUGCGCAGAUAUUAGGAGGAAUACCGGUGGCGAAGGCGACUUUCUGGCCAUGACCUGACGCUGCGGUACGAAAGCGUGGGUAGCAAACAGG